ensembl:lncRNA
AUUGGCCACUGGCGCUGUCGCGCAUCCCGAACUCCGCGGCCUGACACCGCCUCCCCCGCCGCCUCUCGCCUCUCGCCCGUCGCGGCGGGGGCGCGGGAGGGGAUCCCCGGGGCGCCCCGGGACAGGCGGCCAGCUCGGGAUCGGAAGCGAGCAACAGGCUAGUUCUGCAGAGAACCAUAUCUGUAUUCACAGGACCCAUUUCUACAUAGAGGUUGCAAAAUAGAAGAUGUUAUCAGGAUUGAUGUGGUUGCUCCCAUCUGCUCCCCCAAAUGAUGAGGUCUGCAGUACCAUUGGAAUAAAGUCUACUCCUACAGAACUCUACAGAAACAAUCCAGGAUUCUUUUAUGCUUUUCCAGUCCUCUCUUGUUUUCUUUCCCCUCCGCCCAUACCCACCUCUCAUGGAGCAGAAGUGGAACGGAACUGCCACAUGUAUGCUGAAAAUCCAAAAGCCAAAUUUUGGGCUCGUUUUAUAAAACACUUUGGAUGCAAAUCAGCUUCCUCCGAGAAUAUUUCAGUGUUUCACCUACUAUCCCAAAGAAGACUGCUUAAAAAAAAAAACCUGACAUCUUAUCUGCUACCAUCUGUGUACCCUCAGAGAGUCAACAAGAGAAGAGCAAGGGCCAGAAACCAGAACACAGGUGAAAAUAGGAACUCCCAUCUCAUUUUGCAUCUGCUCUUACUGUGGAUGGAACCAAGCCCAGAUACUGCAGGUGAUCACCCGCUCUCUGCGUCAGAUUACUCUAACUUGAGAAGGGUUGGGAAAACAGUUCUGAAGGAUCACUGUACUACUCAGUAA